GCCUCCAUGGCUCAGUUGGUUAGCCUGCUGCAGCAACAGCCGUUCGAUGUGGGAGACGUCCCAUGGAGAGGUCGAGGGUUCGAUUCCCUCUGGAGGCA